rnacentral:lncRNA from 1 species
GUUAAUUUAGGUAUAGUCACGUGACUGGAAAUUUCGGUAUUAAUCAGUGGUGAAGCGGGCUAUCUGUCCUUUCCUAUUCCACGAGGGCUGCAGUUCACAUCAAGAAAUUGGAUAGAAGAGAAUUACCCACCCUCCUCCCCGUUGUUGGACGCGAUAUGUUGAACUUAUAUAGAUACGUUAUGUGUAGUGGGCGUUAGUAAUGCCCCCACCUUUUCUGUGCUAAAUGUUAUAUAGUUAUUAAUUAAUAAUUUUUCUUGUUAAUUAUUAAAAAUUGAUUAAAACAAUAAAGCGGCUAUGUGCCAACAACCGGGCACAUAAGCCAUAAUUAUGCCAUAAAGGCUUUGACUGGUCUCGUAGUAUUCGGCAGCACAGAAAACCGAGCUCAAUCUGACAAACAGUUUGCCGAUGGUGCUUUAAUAUAUGUAGGGAAGCGAUAAAUUAAUAUAAUGCAGCAAAUGCGCGCCAAGCAGUAUAAACGCGGCUGAAAUACGAUAUUAAAAUCUUGAAUGUGCCGUAUGAUUUA